rnacentral:rRNA from 1 species
AACGAACGCUGGCGGCAGGCCUAACACAUGCAAGUCGAGCGGACCCUCCGGGGUUAGCGGCGGACGGGUGAGUAACGCGUGGGAACGUGCCCUUUUCUUCGGAAUAGCCCUGGGAAACUGGGAGUAAUACCGGAUACGCCCUUUUGGGGAAAGAUUUAUCGGCGAAGGAUCGGCCCGCGUUGGAUUAGGUAGUUGGUGGGGUAAUGGCCUACCAAGCCGACGAUCCAUAGCUGGUUUGAGAGGAUGAUCAGCCACACUGGGACUGAGACACGGCCCAGACUCCUACGGGAGGCAGCAGUGGGGAAUCUUAGACAAUGGGGGAAACCAUGAUCUAGCCAUGCCGCGUGAGCGAUGAAGGCCUUAGGGUUGUAAAGCUCUUUCACCGGGGAAGAUAAUGACGGUACCCGGAGAAGAAGCCCCGGCUAACUCCGUG